GAUGGGGAUGCGUCUGAUUAGCUUGUUGGCGAGGUAACGGCUCACCAAGGCAACGAUCAGUAGGGGUUCUGAGAGGAAGGUCCCCCACAUUGGAACUGAGACACGGUCCAAACUCCUACGGGAGGCAGCAGUGAGGAAUAUUGGUCAAUGGGCGGAAGUCUGAACCAGCCAAGUAGCGUGCAGGAAGACGGCCCUAUGGGUUGUAAACUGCUUUUAUAUGAGGAUAAAGUGAAUCACGUGUGAGUGAUUGCAGGUAUCAUAUGAAUAAGGACCGGCUAAUUCCGUGCCAGCAGCCGCGGUAAUACGGAAGGUUCGGGCGUUAUCCGGAUUUAUUGGGUUUAAAGGGAGCGUAGGCGGGAGAUUAAGUGUGUUGUGAAAUGUAGACGCUCAACAUUUGACUUGCAGCGCAUACUGUCAUCCUUGAGUACACACAACGUAGGCGGAAUUCAUGGUGUAGCGGUGAAAUGCUUAGAUAUCACGAAGAACUCCGAUUGCGAAGGCAGCAUACGGGAGCGCAACUGACGCUUAAGCUCGAAGGUGCGGGUAUCGAACAGGAUUAGAUACCCUGGUAGUCCGCACAGUAAACGAUGGAUGCCCGCU
rnacentral:rRNA from 1 species